rnacentral:sRNA from 1 species
GUCAAUAACUCCGCCCUAAAAGGGACGGAGCUUGUAAAGAGCAAACUUUACGUGUUUGACUAGCCCACCGAGACAAACUGCGGUUAAAACUUCCGGAUACUUCCCCAGUUCGGACACACUUUAAGACCAUUUGCUUGGUCGUUGGGUAAUGCCAAGACAUCUGUAGUUAGUUGGGCGAGGGGACUAAAAACUUUACUCGUAAGG